UACGAAGGGGGCUAGCGUUGCUCGGAAUCACUGGGCGUAAAGCGCACGUAGGUGGCUUUUUAAGUCAGGGGUGAAAUCCUGGAGCUCAACUCCAGAACUGCCUUUGAUACUGGCGAUCUCGAGUCCGGGAGAGGUGAGUGGAACUGCGAGUGUAGAGGUGAAAUUCGUAGAUAUUCGCAAGAACACCAGUGGCGAAGGCGGCUCACUGGCCCGGUACUGACGCUGAGGUGCGAAAGCGUGGGGAGCAAACAGG
rnacentral:rRNA from 1 species